AUGCUUCGUGCUGGACUGAUCAUUCCCAGUACAAGUCCAUUCUCCUCACUGGUGCUCCUUGUUAAAAAGAAAGAUCAAACAUGGCAAUUUUGUGUGGAUUUCCGGCACCUCAACGCUAUCACAGUCAAGAAUGCUUACCCACUGCCAGUCAUCGAUGAGUUGCUGGAUGAAUUGUCCGGAUCAGAGUGGUUUUCGAAACUAGACCUCAGGGCAGGGUAUCAUCAAAUCCGCUUGGUGGAACAAGAUGAGCACAAAACUGCGUUUAAAACACAUCAAGGACAGUUUCAAUUUAGGGUUCUGCCUUAUGGAGUAACAGGAGGGCCACCAACAUUUCAAGGAGCAAUC
rnacentral:rRNA from 1 species